UGGGGGUGGCUCGGUGGCAAAGCACUUGCCUGGCGUGCGCGAGGCCCUGGGUUCCAUCCCCAGCCACUCAA
rnacentral:tRNA from 1 species